rnacentral:rRNA from 1 species
GACGAACGCUGGCGGCGUGCUUAACACAUGCAAGUCGAACGGAAAGGCCCUGCUUUUGUGGGGUGCUCGAGUGGCGAACGGGUGAGUAACACGUGAGUAACCUGCCCUUGACUUUGGGAUAACUUCAGGAAACUGGGGCUAAUACCGGAUAGGAGCUCCUGCUGCAUGGUGGGGGUUGGAAAGUUUCGGCGGUUGGGGAUGGACUCGCGGCUUAUCAGCUUGUUGGUGGGGUAGUGGCUUACCAAGGCUUUGACGGGUAGCCGGCCUGAGAGGGUGACCGGCCACAUUGGGACUGAGAUACGGACCAGACUCGUACGGGAGGCAGCAGUGGGGAAUAUUGCACAAUGGGCGGAAGCCUGAUGCAGCAACGCCGCGUGCGGGAUGACGGCCUUCGAGUUGUAAACCGAUGUCGCCUGUGACGAAGCGUGAGUGACGGUAAUGGGUAAAGAAGCAACGGCUAACUACGUG